rnacentral:tRNA from 1 species
GUGGAUGAGGGGUCCAAAAUCGCUCAAAAAGGCACUGGCAGUGUGGGGGUCAGGGGUUCGAGUCCCCUCAGCUCCA